rnacentral:rRNA from 1 species
GACGAACGCUGGCGGCGUGCUUAACACAUGCAAGUCGAACGGAGAAGCGCCUUCCUUUUUGGUGGGUGUGGAUGAGUGGCGAACGGGUGAGUAACACGUGAGUAACCUGCCCCCUUCUUCUGGAUAACCGCAUGAAAGUGUGGCUAAUACGGGAUAUUCUGGGUCUGUCGCAUGAUGGGUCUGAGAAAGAUUUUGUUUCGGUGGGGGAUGGGCUCGCGGCGUAUUAGCUGGUUGGUGGGGUGAUGGCUUACCAAGGCGGCGACGCGUAGCCGGCCUGAGAGGAUGGUCGACCGCAACACAGGGGCGGAGCCGCCGACAAGCCUCCUAGGGGAGGCAGCAGGGGAUAUUACUGAACAGUGGGAGGAAUGCUGAUGCAGCGACGCCGCGGGGGUGAUGGUGUCCUGCGGGUUGUAAACCGUUUUCGGGAGUGAAGCAGGGUGUCCGUGUUUGUGCGUGGGUUGACGGUAGCUGGACAAGAAGCGCCGGCUAACUACGUG